CAGGGUGUAGCUCAGUGGUAGAGUUUGCCUAGCAUCCAUGAGGCUCUAGGUUUGAUCCCUAGCACUCUAA
rnacentral:tRNA from 1 species